UGUUACGUCGGAUGUGAAAACCUGAGGCUCAACCUCAGGCCUGCAUUCGAUACGGGCAAACUAGAGUUUGGUAGGGGAGACUGGAAUUCCUGGUGUAGCGGUGGAAUGCGCAGAUAUCAGGAGGAACACCAAUGGCGAAGGCAGGUCUCUGGGCCAAUACUGACACUGAGGAGCGAAAGUCUGGGGAGCGAACAGGAUUAGAUACCCUGGUAGUCCAGACCGUAAACGGUGGGCACUAGUUGUGGGAACCUUCCACGGUUUCUGCGACGCAGCUAACGCAUUAAGUGCCCCGCCUGGGGAGUACGAUCGCAAGAUUAAAACUCAAAGGAAUUGACGGGGCCCCGCACAAGCAGCGGAGCAUGCGGCUCAAUUCGACGCAACGCGAAGAACCUUACCAAGGCUUGACAUAUAGAGAAAAGUGGCAGAGAUGUCAUGUCCGCAAGGGCUCUAUACAGGUGGUGCAUGGUUGUCGUCAGCUCGUGUCGUGAGAUGUUGGGUUAAGUCCCGCAACGAGCGCAACCCUCGUUCUGUGUUGCCAGCAUUUAGUUGGGGACUCACAGGAGACUGCCGGGGUUAACUCGGAGGAAGGUGGGGAUGACGUCAAAUCAUCAUGCUCCUUAUGUCUUGGGCUGCACGCAUGCUACAAUGGCCGGUACAGAGGGCUGCAAUACCGUAAGGUGGAGCGAAUCCCAAAAAGCCGGUCUCAGUUCGGAUUGAGGUCUGCAACUCGACCUCAUGAAGUUGGAGUUGCUAGUAAUCGUAGAUCAGCAACGCUACGGUGAAUACGUUCCCGGGGCUUGUACACACCGCCCGUCACGUCACGAAAGUCGGUAACACCCAAAGUCAGUGGCCCAACCGCAAGGGGGGAGCUGCCUAAGGUGGGAUCGGUGAUUGGGACGAAGUCGUAACAAGGUAGCCGUA
rnacentral:rRNA from 1 species